UGCUCCAGGUGAUACAAUACUUCAGUGUAUUCCAUAACUGCCUAAUCAUAUGGAACAGCACUUUUGGAACAAAUAAAGCUAGCAAAAUAUUUUUGUUACAACUUGAUGAAUGUACAAAUAUUAUUUUUUAUAAAUGUGCAACCUUUGAACAGCAUGAUGAAAUGAAGGGAAAAAUAUUUUUUUCAACCUCACUGCUGGCUGACAAACACAUCUAGCUCUAAACUGUGCAAACCAAAAAAAGGAUGAGAUUGUCAGCAAACAUCACCUGGAGUUUGUCUGGUGGAGUGUGUUCCAAAGGCUCUGCUAUGGGAAGUAUCCGGUUGUAUCUGCCCAGAUUAAGGAGCCUAUAUCAGAAUAGUAAUGCACGUUGUCAAGAAAGUCUUGCUAUGAAAAUAGUGUCAGUUAAACUGAAAAUAGUUUCAGUUACACUGAACAGUGGUGUUAGUAGCAUAAUAAAAUUUUGAAUUACUUUAAGGCCAAUGUGGUAAACUUGCUAUUAUUCUUUAUAUUAUGUGAUACUAUGGCAGAUUAUCAUAACUGUUAUUGCAUGCUGUAGUGCAGUGGUUAUUGGGGGAAAAUGUCUGUCAAAUAUUUUUCAUGAACUCAAUGCUUCCAAACGGGGAAAGAUAUUUUUUCAUGAUAGAUAUGAUCAAAGAGCACAAACAAAAGUUAAAAUCUUAGAGGUACACAAUUUCUGUGAUAUGUUUCACAAUUUAAUAAUAAUUACUGAUUUUGUUCAUCUUUCAAGUUAUCACCUGUCAUUUUAUGGAUUGGGCAGACUAUUUUAUAUUUUAUUUUCCAGCAAUAGAAGAUUCACAGGUAGCAAAUUAAUGGAUCUGGAAUCCAUUUCUGUCAUUGAAAUAUAACUUACAUCUUAUUUUAACUAUACAAAAUGUAGAAGAGUUUUCAUUCCAUCAACAUACCUGUGUGACACUACUUUCUCCUCUUUGAGUGUUAUUGACAUAAAACAAAAACAAUUUAAGUAUUUAUUAUUCCCGAGUUGCUUUAUUGCCAGUUCACCUUAGAUUAGAUAAAUUAACAAGCAAAAAGCUCAUUGUCA
rnacentral:lncRNA from 1 species